GAUGAACGCUGGCGGCGUGCCUAACACAUGCAAGUCGAGCGAUUUACUUCGGUAAAGAGCGGCGGACGGGUGAGUAACGCGUGGGUAACCUGCCCUGUACACACGGAUAACAUACUGAAAGGUAUGCUAAUACGGGAUAACAUAAGAGAGUCGCAUGGCUUUCUUAUCAAAGCUUUUGCGGUACAGGAUGGACCCGCGUCUGAUUAGCUAGUUGGUAAGGUAACGGCUUACCAAGGCGACGAUCAGUAGCCGACCUGAGAGGGUGAUCGGCCACAUUGGAACUGAGACACGGUCCAAACUCCUACGGGAGGCAGCAGUGGGGAAUAUUGCACAAUGGGCGAAAGCCUGAUGCAGCAACGCCGCGUGAGCGAUGAAGGCCUUCGGGUCGUAAAGCUCUGUCCUCAAGGAAGAUAAUGACGGUACUUGAGGAGGAAGCCCCGGCUAACUACGUGCCAGCCGCCGCCGUAA
rnacentral:rRNA from 1 species